UAAGGAAUAUUCCGCAAUGGGGGAAACCCUGACGGAGCGACACCGCGUGGAGGAUGACACCAUUUUUGGCGUAAACUCCUGUCCUGAGGGAAGAAAUUUUUGACGGUACCUCAGAAGAAAGCACCGGCUAAUUCCGUGCCAGCAGCCGCGGUAAGACGGAAGGNGCAAGCGUUACUCGGAGUUACUGGGCGUAAAGGGUCCGCAGCCGAUUAAGUCAGUCUGAUGUAAAACGCAGAGCUCAACUCUGCGCUCGUAUCGGAAACUGCUUAGAUUGAGUUAUAGAAAGGCAUCUGGAAUGUCAUGUGUAGGGGUAAAAUCCGUUGAUCCAUGAUGGAACGCCGAAAGCGAAA
rnacentral:rRNA from 1 species